UGAUAUUACCUUAUUAUUAGUGUCGUCCAAAACUGGUGCCAGAAGACUCGGUAAGGCCAGAGACACAAACGUUAAUCGUCUUAAUCAGGCGUAAAGGGUUUGUAGGCGGCUUUAAAAUUUACUUAUAAAUAAAAGGUGAAGAAACAAAGCUAGAAUCAAAUAGAGGAUAUAUGAAAGAAUGCUUAGAGUAGGUCUGAUAUCCUUAGAUACUAAGUAGAAUAUUAAAGGCGAAAGCUUUUUUCCAUUAAUGAUUGACGCUCAGAAACGAAGGUGAGGAUAGGAAAUAGGAUUAGAUACCCAAAAUACCCCUCUCUGUCAACGAUGAAUGGUAGUUAUUAGUAAAAAUUUAUUAAUGGCAAUGUUAACACGAUAACCAUUCCGCCUUGCGAGUACAACUGCAAAGUUGAAAACAAAAAAA
rnacentral:rRNA from 1 species